rnacentral:tRNA from 3 species
GGGGUAUAGCUCAGUUGGGAGAGCACCUGCCUUGCAAGCAGGGGGUCAAGGGUUCGAAUCCCUUUAUCUCC